UUGUGGAAAGGACCCUUGUGGCGUCUCAUGAGGGGAAGGGGGAGAAAAUAACAGGGGGGCCCUACAGGACAGGAGUCCUGGCAGGUGAAUUCUAGCACUAAUGGGAUACUGAAUAACUAGCAUCCUCCUGACAAACACUUGUCGUUUGGAUUGCUCGGAUUUGCUGCGCUUGCCUGGGAAAGAUGCUGAUGGAGUGAAGCGAAAAGAGAGACGCCAACAGGAUUGCCAGACAGCCAGGCUGGGGAGGAGAGGUAAUUGGAUAGGGCUCAGCUGGAGGGAGUUACUCCAGGAGGACGGCUACAAAAGGAUGCAGCAAAAAGUGGUACUCAUCAGAUCCUCCUGACUGUUGCAUCUAAGCACCCACUGCCAUACCAUCAUGACCAUGCAGGAGAUUUUUGGGCAGACAUGCCCUCUGCUGCUGUCACAAUGAAUACGUGUCUUAAAGGCACUAAGAUACCUAAGAGAUUUUUGUUUUCUUUUGAACAAAAAGGCUUUAUCAGAAAGUUUCAAACAUUCCAGAAAGGGCGUGAAUGCAACAAUCAAAUA